AGAGCGAACGCUGGCGGCAGGCCUAAUACAUGCAAGUCGAACGGAUCCUUCGGGAUUAGUGGCGGACGGGUGAGUAACACGUGGGAACGUGCCCUUUGGUUCAGAACAACUCAGGGAAACUUGAGCUAAUACUGGAUAAGCCCUUCGGGGGAAAGAUUUAUCGCCAUUGGAGCGGCCCGCGUCUGAUUAGCUAGUUGGUGGGGUAAAGGCCCACCAAGGCUUCGAUCAGUAGCUGGUCUGAGAGGAUGAUCAGCCACACUGGGACUGAGACACGGCCCAGACUCCUACGGGAGGCAGCAGUAGGGAAUCUUGCGCAAUGGGCGAAAGCCUGACGCAGCCAUGCCGCGUGAAUGAUGAAGGUCUUAGGAUUAGUAAAAUUCUUUCAGCGGGACGAUAAUGACGGUACCGCAGAAGAAGCCCGGCUAACUCGUGCCAGCAGCCGC
rnacentral:rRNA from 1 species